GAUUGACUUGUUGUAUAUAUUUGUAUUUGUUUAUAUUUUAAUUGAAGAAUCAUUUGGGUUAUUGUAUUUGUAAGAUUUAAUUUUUUAAGCGAUAGUUUAUUUGUACUGUGAAGGGUUGGAGUUGUUUAUUUUAAUAUUUUUUUAAAAGUUGGCUUUAUUUGUCGUACCUUGUGUAUCAGGGUUUAUUGAAUUUUAUUAUUUAUUUUUAUUUCCCGAUUUUAAAGGAGUUAAUAAUUUAUGUUAGUUACUGUUUUAUUAGUAUUAAUAAUAACUUAUUGGUAAUGAAAUGUUAUUCGUCUUUAGUGGUCUCUGGUUUUUCAAGAAAUGAAUUUAAUUCAUACAUCUUAUUUAAUUUCUGUUAUUUUUUAUUUAUUUUAAUUUGAUGUUAAGAUUAAGGGGGAUUAGCUCCUUAUUUUAUUUUUAUAAUUUUUUUUAUUGUAUUUAGUUUUGUGGAUUUUAUAGUGAUUUUCAAUUUGAUUAUGUUAAAAUUUUAUUUAUUCUUUUGUUUAUUUUAUUUUAUUUAAUUUUUUAUUGAGACGUUUGUUUUAUUUUUGGUUGCAUGAUGAUUAUUGUGGAAUUAGUAAAUUUAUUUAUUAUGUUGUACUAUUGAAUGUUAAUUUCUUUUGAGGAAUUAGGCAAAAGUUAUUAUGUUCGCCUGUUUAACAAAAACAUCUUUUCUUGUUAGUUUUUGAAGUAUGGCCUGCCCACUGACUUUGAGUUGAAGGGCCGCGGUAUUUUGACCGUGCAAAGGUAGCAUAAUCAUUAGUUCUUUAAUUGUGAUCUGGUAUGAAUGGCUUGACGAGAUAUAAGCUGUCUUAGAGGUAUUAUUUAUUGAAUUUGGUUUUUGAGUUAAAAUUCUUAGAUGUUUUUAUGGGACGAGAAGACCCUAUAGAGUUUGACAUUUAUUUUUCUUAUUUUUAUAGUUUGUUUUUUUAUAUAAGUUGGGUUAAUGUUUUGUUGGGGUGAUGGGAGGAAUUUUUUUAACUCCUCUUUACUUUUGUAUAUUUAUUUAUAUUUUUUUUGAUCCAUUUAUUUUGAUUAUAAGAUUAAAUUACCUUAGGGAUAACAGCGUUAUCUUCCCUGAGAGUUCUUAUUGGCGGGGAGGUUUGCGACCUCGAUGUUGGAUUAAGGUGAAUUUUCGGUGCAGGAGCUGAAAUUGAUUGGGUCUGUUCGACCUUUAAAAUCUUACAUGAUCUGAGUUCAGACCGGCGUGAGCCAGGUUGGUUUCUAUCUAUAAAUAAUUUUUAUACCUUAGUACGAGAGGACCGGGUAUUUGAAAUAAUUUUGUUUAAUAUGAUUGUCAUUAAUAUUAUUGCUAUUUUGGCAGAUAAGUGCAUUGGAUUUAGAAUCUAUUAAUGUAAAAUUUU
rnacentral:rRNA from 1 species